rnacentral:lncRNA from 1 species
AGACAGGGGAGAGCGCAGGGACGCCGGGGAGCUGGCGGCGGCCCUGGACACUUUGCAGUCGAAUCGGAGACCGGCCGGGCCGCACGGCCGGCAAGGGGGCUGGGAGAGAGUUGGGCACCAUUAAAGUUUUUAUUUUUCGUGUC